GACAGAGGGUGCAAACGUUGCUCGGAAUCACUGGGCGUAAAGGGCGUGUAGGCGGGAAGGAAAGUCAGAUGUGAAAUCCCUGGGCUCAACCCAGGAACUGCAUUUGAAACUCCUUCUUGUAGUGUCGGAGAGGAAAGUGGAAUUCCUGGUGUAGAGGUGAAAUUCGUAGAUAUCAGGAGGAACACCGGUGGCGAAGGCGGCUUUCUGGACGACAACUGAACGCUGGAGAACGCGAAAGCGUGGGGAGCAAACAGG
rnacentral:rRNA from 1 species